GGUGCGGCUGGGGACACGGCCUGCACCCCCGAAACACCUAAGGGCGCUUCUGAAGCAGCCGCAGGCAGGUGAGUGAGUCGCAGGAGCAGUAGGUUGACCGUGCGGAGAAGCUGACCGCUCUGCAGAGACCUCCCUGGUGGUUCCCCAAAAUCCCCAGGUCGUGUGUCCCCGGGGGGGGCUUCCUUCCUGGGAAGCGAUUCCAGUGGGGCCUGCCAGCGAGGGCCUCAGAGGUGGCAGGACGCGGGGUAGCGGGUGACCAGCCGGGUGUCGGGCGGCCCUGAGCUGGGAGGGGAGCCACGGGGCCGAUGCUCCGACCCCCCCCCGGAGGCGGCCACUCGAAACCUCCUGACGCGAAGAACCCCUAACGGGCUCUGCGUUUCCCUCGGUAACGAGAUACAAACACGUGGUCCACGUUGUCCCCGUUCCUGCUUGAAGGGGCGAGGACUGUUUCUGGAGCCCUAAAUCUCUAUGAGGCCCCGCGGCCCCGCGCUAGAUGUGCUCAUUCUAUCAAUUCCUAUUUAAAUUCGAAACCAGUAACAAAAUGAAAAACAGUUGUUAACACCGCAUGAACUCAUAAUUGUAACGUUAGAAGCCUCGAGCAACGUGUAGAAAUGUUAUUGAAACAUUUUUUUGUUUGCUACCCUUUCUGUGGUAAAUUCCUUUGCAGCAUUUUCCAAGCAGAUGUAGCAGUGGAAACUGAGUCGAAAUUUCUGGAGAAAAAUUUCAGGAAUUUUUCUGGUACUUGUGGGUUGACCUUCCGGCUGUAAGGAACCCACGCCUUGGCAAGGUGGAGACGUAGGAGGGGGCUACUUCAUGUGCCCUGGAGCCUGCUGGCCCAGCUGAGUCCUGGAGGCAUCCGGGUUAAGGCCAAGGCCAGGCCUGGCACGUCCCGACCGUCAGCGGCAGCCCCGAGCCCAGGAGGCAGCAGAGGAGCGCGACUAGAAGGAGCCCGAGGGCCCGGAGGGAGAAGAGACAUUGGGAGAGACUGGGAAGCGGGGCUCCCGUGGCCUCCGAUGUGAAGAGCAGCAUCAGUGGUCCACUCAGCCCCGUGUUCCCAACAACGUCUUAGCUCGUGGGACAAAAAUAAUUGUUAAUCGAUCUUGAAUAUUGCCAGGUACCUGAGGACUUGCCCCUCUCCUGCCAGCUCCUGGGGGACUUCGCCGUGAGCGUGUCUCUGACGUCGCUCUGCAGACUGGAAAGGACUUCAGACCUGGAUCGCAGGGACGGUGGGAGGGGCGCCCCCGGCAUCCCCAGUUCUCGGGUCAGGAGCCUGAGGCCUCGGCAGGGCAUGUUAGAGGAACAGGUCACCUCUAACCUGUGAGAAAAAAGAAAAAAGGUCACCAUGAGAAUCAAGCUAAAGAAGAAACAAAUAGUCCAACAUAUGAGCUUUUUGGGGCAUAACGUGGGAUAAAGAUCAAUAGCUACUCCGUUGGUUGGAAAGAUUUCUGUGGUCCCGUGUGGACGGUGUAUGUUGUGUAACUAUUACGAAAGUGAAUUUCAAGACCCGACAUUUCUGCCCUGGACAUCUUACUCUUCACAUUUUAUUUUGCAUCCGCUCUGCUUAUUUAAUUAUAUUUUAAUAGUUCUCUCUAUCUCGCGUCUGUCUUGAAAGACCUCUCCUGUUGAUUAUCCUGUGAGCGUGUUUUGAGACACGGUGUCUCCUUGGGGAGUCUUUCUCCGCUCCUAAAGCCAUAACAACGUGAACUAAGCAAUAAAAAGCCAAUUCCCUCCCCUUGGUUGUGCUUCGCAUAGUCAUUUCUUUGAUACGGGCUAAUAAAAACAGGAAAAGGAUCAUUUUUGAAUGCUUUGGUUGGGGUUGCUUUGCUUCCAAUAAGGAAAAUUGCCUCACAUGGGGGAGCACGGGUAAUAAAGAUACAGCUAAGUGAGUAAUUGUGUUCAGUCUAAUGUCAGAAUCCCCAGGCUGCCGCCUGCAAAUCUAAUUUAAUCUUGGGAUUGCUGUGUGUCCACCGUGGUGCGUAGCUGUGAGCCUGCUGCUGCUCCCCAUCGCCUCUCCACAGCUACUGAAGAUGAAUUUCAGAUGCUACUGCAGAUUUUUGAUGUGGGUGGGGCCCUUCUCCCUUAGUGAUGUUUGCAAGUUAACAAAAGGGCUCUGGAUGUUGACCAAGAGUGAAGGAUGGAACACAGUGAUGGGUAUUGUGGUGGCGGAAGUGACCGUAGGCCACCUUACAGAGAGACGGAGGCGCGGGGAGAGGAAACCGCUUCGCUCGAGUCCUGCAGGUUGCAAGGCUUUAGGACACGAUCGUUGACUUUCUUCGUCCGGCUGCCUCCAAUCCAUGUCUUUCCUCCUCAUCGUGCUUUGCACCCCUUUCUUCUUACUUUAAGACAAUUGGGGGUGAGUGUCCUCUCUGCUGUACCUCCCUAUCCGGUAGCUCCUGUGGGACCGACCCCCUCAGACCCUCCGCUCAACAGGGUCUUGGCACUGAUGACUCAUGGCCCGAUGCCUCUCCAGAAAUUAUUCUCACCCAAGGCAAAGGAGCAGCUCCCAUCACAUGACUGAUUGAGGCAGGGAUAUUGUUUGGGAUGCUUGGAAUGGCCCUCUGGGGUCCAAGGUCCCCACGGACGCAGCUGAGACAGACCAUCAUCUGUCCGUCCACUCUGCUUUCCCAAGCGUGCUCCUGAGGGUGAGUCCCAAGAAACUGCCCCUGAAAUCAUCACAGAGGAUGAUUUACCAGGACACCCAACCUAAGACGAUGGAGAGGUUGGACCAGGGUGCUCUUCUGGCAGGGGUCAAGGGCAGGAUGGCCCUGCUGGGAGAACCGUCUUCUUCCUGGGAACCCCGGUGGUCCUGACGGGAGAGUCUCCAGCUGAGAGGUGAGAGACCUGCACCGCUUCUGUGCCUGGGGACCUGGUCUCAUCCUUCCACUUACAGAUCAGGAAAGCAAGCCCCGUUCCCUAAAGAAACGUGACCAACAGCACAUUGCUAGCUGGCAGGAGGAGCUACAGCAAGCCCGGGGGGCCUGUCUGCUGCUGCCGGUGCGGAUCUGGGAGGGCCAUUUUGGAAUUUGUUCCAAGUUGUGCUGCUGUAACUCAUUGACUGCAGAUGGGUCUAGAAACCAUUCAUCUGUCUGACCCAUUUGUUCAGCUCUGGCCCAGAAAUCUCAAUUCCUACACGGCCUUACCUUGCGAACUGUCUACCGUCCUUUGAAGAGCGAUCGCUGAAGCUCACCAGGGUUGGUCCUAGAAUAGGUGGAGAAGAAGAGAUGGUGUAGCAGAAACAGAUGGUCCUGGUUGUUUUUGCCUGAAAUCAGCAUUUCGUGUUAACUGGCUAUUAAGAGGAUUGGGAACUUGGCAAAGGCUUACUACAUGAUAGAGCGGCGGCAAGUACACAUUCAUUAGACAGAUGAAACAUGCGGCAGUGGGUUGAAGCAGUCAUAAGCUAGAUGAAAAAUGACUACAAAUUAAUAUGUGGUCUCAUGAUCAUCCUAAAUAGUUUAUUAGUCAUUUUAUUAUGCUCAAAUAAUGUUCCAUGGAGAUUAUCAAACCAUUAUAAGCUCAGAGUCACGAUCCUGAGAAAUUUGGAAGUAAUUGAAAAGCAAAUUAUUGGUUUACUAUUAUUGCUACUAUAAGGAUUCGGAUUUUAUAUAGUUUCCUUGGCGUAAUUAACCAGCUACUCUUCCUGAAAACGUUCUUUGAGCCCCAUUGUCUGUAAAUUAAGUCAAAAUAUAUUUUAUUUGGUAUUCAA